UAGUCUGGUGCCAGCAGCCGCGGUAAGACGGAGGAUGCAAGUGUUAUCCGGAAUUAUUGGGCGUAAAGCGUUUGUAGGUGGAUAAACAAGUCGAUCGUUAAAUAUAGGGGCUUAACCUCUACUCAGCGAUCUGAAACUGUUUAUCUUGAGGGUGGUAGGGGUAGAAGGAAUUCCUAGUGUAGCGGUGAAAUGCGUAGAUAUUAGGAAGAACACCAACGGCGAAGGCAUUCUGCUGGGCCACACCUGACACUGAGAAACGAAAGCUAGGGGAGCGAAUGGGAUUAGAUACCCCAGUAGUCCUAGCCGUAAACGAUGGAUACUAGAGGAUAUGCGUAUCGACCCGUGUAUUCUCGCAGUUCACACAGUAAGUAUCCCGCCUGGGGAGUACGCUCGCAAGGGUGAAACUCAAAGGAAUUGACGGGGGCCCGCACAAGCGGUGGAGCAUGUGGUUUAAUUUGAUGCAACGCGAAGAACCUUACCAAAACUUGACAUACCAUUUUUAGCUAUCUGAGAAGAAAGCAUUCCCUCGGGACUAUGGAUACAGGUGGU
rnacentral:rRNA from 1 species